rnacentral:lncRNA from 1 species
AAAAGAAAAUAUUAAAUAAAACAUGAGCAUACAUAUUGAUGGAGCAACAUCCCUUGUAGAAGAAGCUCCGUAAAAAUGAAAUUAAAAAAAAUUAAUUACAAAAAUAUACAACAAUGUGUGGUACACCAAAUAAAAAUUUCUAACAAGCCACAGACUAAGAAAUAAAUAGUAGUAACAACAGGUGAUACACCUAAUCACCUAAUCAUAAAUUAACACGUAUAUAUAUAUAUAUAUAUAUAAAAGACAUAAUAAAUACAAGCAAUGCAAUAUAUUUUUCAAAUAUCUUUCCUCCCUCUAUCAUGUUCAUUUCAACUUAAGAAAAAAAAACAUGCCAAAGAGAAAACAAAACAAAACUUGUUCUCUCACUCUCAUGCUCUCUCACUCUAUUUAUUGUCAAAUUAAACAUUUAAAGUAAUAAUAUAUUUCUUACUUUUUUCAAACAAAUUAUCAAAAAACAAAUAUUAAUCCAACAAAGAUAAAACAAAACAAAAAAUUAAAGUACCAUCAUGGAAAGAGAAAUGAAGUUUUGUGGUUUGUUGAGUGUGGGUUAUUUUAGAGGAAAAUUUGGUAUGAAGUUUAUGUUGGUUUUAUGAGAGUGAGAGAUAUGUAGUUUUAUUGUGAAGGUUGGUUAUUAUUUGUGGUAAUGGUAAGUGAAGAAUAUGUGGUAUGAAAACGAUAUGAGGUACAUCACCAUAAAAUAAUUCUUUAUUGAUGUGCUUUCUUUCAAAAGUUUAUUGAGAUUGAGUGUUCUAAAGUUGUGGUUUUUCUAAAAAAAAUUGAAAAAAAUAAGUAUUAGAUCUUGAAGGACAGCGCCUCUCGUGUUUUUUUUUUCCGUUGGCCAAUGAGAGUAUCUAUAUAUAUAUAUAUAUAUAUAUAUAGCAUGAAUCUAGGUUUUUAAAUAUUCAAUAAUGACAAAUUNAGAGAGAGGGAUAUUAGAGAAGCAAAAUAAAUAAAUAAGGAUAUAGUCAAAUAAUUAAAAAGAUCAUUAAUUACUAAAUAAAUAAUUAAAUAAACAAAAGAAAAUAAAAUAAAACAUUAACUACAGAGGGUGUAAAUACUAAUACAUGUAUUAAACUUAGUAAGAUAGAAGUCCAACUCUAGUUUUAAAAAAUAAAUAAGUAAAUAAAUAAAAAUAUGAAAUAAAAAGGGAAGAAAAGGAAAAGAAAUAUUAAAUAAAACAUGAGCAUACAUAUUGAUGGAGCAACAUCCUUGUAGAAGAAGCUCCGUAAAAAUGAAAUUAAAAAAAAUUAAUUACAAAAAUAUACAACAAUGUUGUGGUACACCAAAUAAAAAUUUCUAACAAGCACAGACUAAGAAAUAAAUAGUAGUAACAACAGGUGAUACACCUAAUCACCUAAUCAUUAAUUAACAUCACAAGGUAUAUA